rnacentral:rRNA from 1 species
GAUGAACGCUAGCGACAGGCCUAACACAUGCAAGUCGAGGGGCAGCACAUGAGUAGCAAUACGAUGGUGGCGACCGGCGCACGGGUGAGUAACACGUAUGCAACCUGCCUGUAAGAGGGGAAUAACCCGGAGAAAUUCGGACUAAUACCGCAUAAUACCACGAGACUGAUGGUUUUGUGGUUAAACAUUUAUGGCUUACAGAUGGGCAUGCGUAUGAUUAGAUAGUUGGUAGGGUAACGGACUACCAAGUCUACGAUCAUUAGGGGUUCUGAGAGGAGUGUCCCCCACACUGGUAGUGACAAACGGCCCAGGCUCCUACGGGAGGCGGCAGUGAGGAAUAUUGGUCAAUGGGCGAAAGCCUGAACCAGCCAAGUCGCGUGAAGGAAGAAGGUUCUAUGGAUUGUAAACUUCUUUUGCAGGGGAAUAAAGGACGGUACGUUUACUGUUUUGUAUGUACCUUGCGAAUAAGGAUCGGCUAACUCCGUGCCAGCAGCCGCCGUAAAAC